rnacentral:lncRNA from 1 species
UUAAAAGUCCUCAUCUACUCUUAAAGGCUGAAUAUGAAGGCAACUCGGACUAAGAAGACGACUGCUUUCCAACUGCCCUCCCGUCCUGCAGCCGCCUGAUUUGAGGAAGGGGCUGGGAUCCUUCCCCUUGCCCUCUGGUUGUUCUUGGAGUUACAGCAGCCCCGCGGCAGCUCUGCCCCCUAGUGCACAUGUGAGGCAGCGCGCCCUUCUCCAAUCCAGAAGCCUCGUCGCGGUGCUGCCAGCAAGGGAGUUUUUCUGUAUUCACUUUGGUGGAAAUAGCAAAACUUGACAGAAAAAAAACCCAAGCCAAACCAAAACACACGAACCAUUCUAGCCUUUUCUCUCUUUCGUUUCUUUCUGAGGAUCUGGCCGAUUUGGAUGCAGAAAACAUGCCUGUUGCUUCUGCUGCGAAAUCUGCUCUUUCUCUUCCUGCUAUCGGAACCCUGUCCCUUCUUUCAAAGCCUAAUUCAGGCCAGGCGCGGUGGCUCACGCCUGUAAUCCCAGCACUUUGGGAGGCCGAGACAGACGGAUCACUUGAGGUCAAGAGUUUGAGACCAGCCUGGCCAAAAUGGUGAAACCCUGUCUCUACUAAAAAUACAAAAAUUAGCUGGACAUGGUAGCACACGCCUGUAAUCCCAGCUACUCGGGAGGCUGAGGCAGGAGAAUCACUUGAACCCGAGAGACGGAGGUUACAGUGAGCUGAUAUCAGGCCACUGCACUCCAGCCUGGGUGACAGAGUGAGACUCCAUCUCAAAAAAAAAAAAAAAAAAGCCUAUUUCAAAUUCCACCCCUUGCCUAAAAACUUUUCCUGACUUCUGACUUUCCUCUCCUAUGCGUCUUUUUUAUUUUUUAUUUUUGAGCUGGAGUCUCACUGUGUCACCCAGGCUGGAGUGCAGUGUCGCAAUCUCCGCUCACUGCAACCUCCGCCUCUGGGGUUCAAGCAGUUCUGCCUCAGCCUCCCGAGUAGCUGGGAUUACAGCCACCCGCCACCAUGCCUGGCUGAUUUUUUGUAUUUUUAGUAGAGACGGGGUUUCAUCAUGUUUGUCAGGCUGGUCUCGAACUCCUAACCUCAAGUGAUCCACCCGCCUUGGCCUCCCAAAGUGCUGGGAUUACAGGCAUGAGCCACCGCGCCCAGCCAUCCUAUAUGUCUUUUGAAAUAUGGCUGUACACAGGCUCAGCACACAGUGUGCACUUAUAUACUGUAUUUCUUUAUUGGGGUCCAAGUCUGUGCAUCUUUUGUGUUCACAGACCCCAGGGUGCCCAGCACAGGGCUGGGGACACAAACUGCUCUCAAUAAGCCCCUGUUUAUUAAUUAAUUGAUUAGCUUCCACAGAAACAACUGAGGUUUUGCUUCAAUAAACCUUGCAGAACUCUUAGUUCUUUAGGGACUCUGGAUAGUGAUCUAAUCAAAUAUGGCCUUGCACAGUAAGUCAUUUCACAAAGCAAUUUCACAAGAGAACACUAACAUCACCCAGAGUGGGAUGAGGAAGUCUGAAAUUUGAAGUGGACUCUCAGAAAGAUGAGGAAGGUGGCGGUGCUGUAGACAGGUCAAAGGACAAUGACUUAGGAGAGGUGGGUCUCUGCUUCUGGGAUAGAAGACGCAGCACGGGCCCUAGAGUUAGCUUCAUAUCCAGACUCUACCACUUGCUGUAUGUCCCUGGGCAAGUUUACUCUUCUCUCUGUGCCUCAGUUUUCUCCUCUGUAAAAAAAGGCCGGGCAUGGUGGCUCCUGCCUGUAAUCCCAGCACUUUGGGGGGCCAAGGUGGGCGGAUCACCAGCGGUCAGGAGCUUGAGACGAGCCUGGACAACAUGGUGAAAACCCAUCUCUACUAUAAAUACAAAAAUUAGCAAG